rnacentral:tRNA from 1 species
UCCCCUGUAGCUCAGUUGGUAGAGCGUGCGGCUGUUAACCGCAUUGUCGUAGGUUCGAGCCCUACCGGGGGAG